UGUUUGUAGGGUAUUUUGCCUGAUGUCAGAAGAAAUAAAGACUGAAAUAAAAAGAAGCAAGUUAAAAGUUCAUAAAGAAGCUAUGCAUUUCUAAAGCAGGAGGCAAAAGUUAAGAAGUGGCUCAGCCUGUCCAGUACACAUAAGAUGUCCCCUGUGCCUACUGUCUCCAGUUUUCCUGCCUUGACGUCUCCCCCAAGAAUGGUGCAGCACCUGCAAAGAAAAAUUAAGAGAGGGAAAACACCAAAUUGGGCAGCUGAAUACCUCUAAUCUGUUGGCUUCCACUGUCUAAGUGCUAUUGUAAGCAACCACAUAAGGGAUUUCACUUUGAAAGGGGAUUCCAGACUGCAAGAGAAUUGAUUUGUUCCUUGAGCCUUCUCCAGAAGAACUGACUGUACUCUCUUUUGACCCUUCUCUUGUUUGGUGAGUUAUACAAAAAACUCCAGGGAAUUCCUACUUUCAUAGUCAGUUUAACAUAUCUACUGCUUUUUCAUUAAACACAAAUUCUGAAUUUCUUAUUCCUUUGACAGAUAUGACAGAAAGGGACAGCUCAGUCCGGGAAUGAAGUUUGGUAGAAAGCCAUUUAGGGGAGCAGAUAGAAGCUUUUUCUUUCCUGUUGUUUGAAAGUGUAUUCACUUUUACCUCCACACUGACUUGUACUUGCAGGGUAAGAGAAAAGUUGCUUUUGAGAUGUUGAUGUUGAGAAUGAUUGAAGACCUGGGAAGCCCAGAACUGCAGGGCAGUCAGAGGGCUCCCAGAACAACUCCCAGUGAAGUGCUCAGAGCCAGCUGCAAACUUAAGUCAACACAGGUAUCAAACACCAAGUUUUCUAUCUCUCCAAUUAGGGAUUUUAUAGAGUUCCUGCCAUUCUAGUAUCUGAGCAAUUAUGGAGUUACUCCUGAUUUGUAUCAAUGUUGAAUUCAGUCAUAUCUGGUGGCAGGAAUGUCUCACUUGAGUGAUCCUACCGUUGGGAUGUGCUGCCCUUGAAGGCCCGAGUCUCAUGCCCUCCACAGGGCAUGAUAUCCUGAUUUUUUCAGAUCAUCAUUUGAUUCACUCUUUUCCUUCUUGUUUUGAUUUUUAAUCUCCACGCUAAAAACUUUU